ACUAUAUACUUUCUUUUCAAUUCUUCUGGUAAUGUGUAUUUAACAAUUAAUUUUGCUAAUCUUGGAUGUAGCUUUGCACAUGGAUUGCUACAGAUUAGAGCUGUCACAGCGGGCUGUCCAUGUCCAUUAGCCCAGUCCAAUAAUGUCCAUUUCGAUAUUGGACAAAUAGUGUUCAUGUCCACUAAGGCACAUGUCCAUUAACGCCCGUGCCCAUUAAUGUCCAUGUCCAAAUGGGUUGUCCAAUAGGCAUAACAAAACCAAAUUUUAACACAAUAGUAUUUGCUUCAGCAAGAUGCUUGAAUGUUUCUUUGUAAAUAAUCGCUCUAGAGAGCAUUAGAUGUGUAGAAUUCCAUUUUGUGCUUACUACCAAUUCUUUUUUCUGUUU
rnacentral:sRNA from 1 species